GAGUGGUGCCAGCCAGCACCCAGCUUCAGGGUGAUGGGAGGGGAGAUUGUUUCUGCAAGUGAUUCAGCCUCGAUGUUUGCGUGGUGCCUGGCCUGGCUCUGCCGUGAGCUCUGGGCAGGCUCUGAGUGUGGAGCUGUGGGUGCCUGGAUGAGCUGUGAGGCACAACCUGAGCAAAGCAACAGCAAAGAGCAGAGCGUGAUGCUGGAGGUCAGUGCCCGCUCUCUUCAGAAGGAUGGGAAAGGCUUCCAGCGUGGUGAGACCUACCGUGGGAUGGCAACAGGGAACGCGCCUCUGGAAACGGUGAAGUAGCAGAAAAACGCUGGCAUGGAGAUGAAAUUAUCCCAUGCUCCUGAGAAGUGCUGUAAUGAGCAGCUCUGCAAGCUUGGAGUUGAGACACCGCGAUUCUCGGUAGCACCAUCUGCACUGUUUGCAUGGAGCUGGGAUGCGAUCGCUGGUGUUGAGGCAGCUGCUGAAUCCCCGUGAGGGUUUUGCCCUGGAUUUUUAUUGGAAAAUAAGGAUAAUUAUUGAUGUUCCUGAAGCAGAGGUGGAAAGUUUUUGCCCCUAAGGACUGAUGGCGACGUAGGCCUGCUCUGCUACAGUCAUAACUUGAUUCAGGUUUUGUGAAACAAUCAGUUUUUUGGUAAACAAUAACAGGAUGCUAUUUACAAGAUCAAGUUUUGUAAACCCCGUGUUAGAAAAUCACAGGGGAAAAUACAUUCCCAAUCUGCUUCCCAAAGAAAAUCACAGGGGAAAAUACAUUCCCAAUCUGCUUCCCAAAGAAAAUCUCAGGGAAGAAAUACGUUCCCAAUCUGAUUUCCAAAGUGUUUCAAUGCUUCUGCGAGCAGUGAGAGCCUGCAGAAGGGGAUGGGAUCCAAGCACCCAUGUUGGGUUAUAUUUGCCCAGAAUCGACCCUCUGUCCCAUGGUGAGGAUGGUCACCGAGGGCUUGGCUUCUCUGACCCAAAGCAUUGAUUGCAUUUUCCAAAUCUGCCCAAAUUUCACUGGGAGCAGUGCUAGGAAAGCUGACAUGAGGAGCUGCUCCCUUCCUUGCUCUCCUUGGUAAUCACUGUCCCCACCAAGCAAGUCUGAAGAAUUAACAUGUUUUGCUCCAUAUUUUAAAAAUAAUAAUAAGAAGAAAAGUCACAAUUUACCUAAUUUUCCUGGUGAAGCAACCUGGUAUGGAGGAGUUGUUCUGCUCCUUUGCUUCAUGCCUUGCUAAAAAGGUUUUUCCUCUUGUGGCCUUUCACAUUACCACAAUUUCUAACUUCUUUUAGCCCUGAAAAGGGUAACUCCAGGCAGAGGGAAAUUUUCCACUUGCAGAUCCCCUCACAACCUCGCUGUUUUCUUUGCCCAAUGACGGAGUUCAUGGCACUGCUGAGGACAGAGCACCACCUCUGCCGGGAUCCACAAAACAUCAUCUGAGUGAAACAAACCCCAGUUCUGGAAGCGUGGCCCCCAAACCUCUGAGGUGGUGACAUGUCCAUCUGCAGAGGGAACACAGGGCGGCAGUGAGCAGGGCAGCACCGGGGUUCCGCUCCUCCGCGGGCAGACGCCUUUAUUUCAGAUUUCUGCUAUGUGAGUUAUGUCGCUCUUUCCUGUUUUUGGCAACGGGGAAACAAGAAAACAGCCUCGGAAAAUAUUAACAAAAUGGAAACCGAGAUCGUAAAGCAUUUUGCUCCGGGCAGCUUUCCCUUUCCCUAUGGGCAGAAGCAGGGCCGUAAGCCAAUUUAGGGCCAUUUGACCUCGGGGGCUUCUCACGGAAGGAAGAGCUCUGGUGGUGCGCGGAGCCCGGCACCUGCAGGACAGGAUGCGGAGCAGAUGUUCCCAGAUGUGCCGCGGGCACCGGGCUCGGGCCAACGGGUCACGUUCUCCCUCAGUUAUUAAGGGAAUGCGAUGCCGGUUUGUAAUACCACGGGCGUGUAUUUUGGACAGGUUUGGGUAAUUCGAGAAGUAAUGGAAAUUUAGCACCGCGAGGCCCUGGGGAAGAGCAAACUCCAAGGAAAAAAAAAACAAGAAGGGAAGCACGGUGCGGGGAGUGGGCUCUGCUCUGCUCGGCACGGCUCAGCAGCCCUUCUGCUGGUCGGGAUUUUGCCUUUUCCUUGAGAAUGUCCUUGGCUGCAGCAGUCCCCGUGGUGACACCUCUUGCUCUGCAGCGUUUUCUCCCCCAGGUCUCUGUAGCUGGAGGCCAACCGCUCGUUUCCCCUUGGCACCCAACCCGGCGAGCGCUCGCAGCCCCUUUGCAUCCUGAGAACUCACCAACAAAUUGCUUCCACACUCUGGCCCAACAUCAAAACUGGUGCAGUACAAGGGUUAACCGACUUAAACGUUUAAAGAGUCAUGAAAUGGACGGUUUCCGCUUUCCAUCUGGCUUUUAUCAAUUCUAAGUCGGUUUCAGAAGUGCAGCUACACAAUCAAAACACACGAUCUCCCUAGUCAGAUAAUUCAAUUUCAUAAAUGAAUUACUUAUGUGCCUGUAAGUAAAUACAUUCCUAUGCAGGGAGAUAUUGACUGCUGUCAAUGGAAUAAUGAGGUCCAGGGGAAGUGGCUGCGGCCCCUCGGGGCUGUCCUGUAGAGCUGUGGGACUGAUGGAGCUCCCAGUAUGGGGGGGUUGAGGGGAGAGGAGGGGCUGCUCAUGGGAGGGGCAGCUUGAGCCACCCCUGGGGACAAUGGUGUGGGACAUGAGUGGUGUGAUGGAUGGGAAAGGGGACGGACUUGACCGUGGGUUUGUGCCU